rnacentral:rRNA from 1 species
CGGAGGGUGCAAGCAUUGAUCGGAAUUACUGGGCGUAAAGGGCGCGUAGGCGGCAAGAAAAGUCAGGUGUGAAAUUCCGGGGCUCAACCCCGGAGCUGCAUUUGAAACUUUCUAGCUAGAGUACAGUUAGGGUAAACGGAAUUCCACGUGUAGCGGUGAAAUGCGUAGAUAUGUGGAAGAACACCAGUGGUGAAGACGGUUUACUGGGCUGAAACUGACGCUGAGGCGCGAAAGCAUGGGGAGCAAACAGGAUUAGAUACCCUGGUAGUCCAUGCCUUAAACGAUGCAUACUAGGUGUAGGAGGGAUCAACCCCCUCUGUACCGGAGCUAACGCAUUAAGUAUGCCGCCUGGGGAGUACGCUCGCAAGGGUG